UACGGGGGGUGCGAGCGUUGUCCGGAAUCACUGGGCGUAAAGGGCGCGUAGGUGGUUUGAUAAGGGUGUGGUGAAAGUCCGGGGCUCAACCCCGGAUCUGCCGUGCCGACUGUCAAACUCGAGGACUGUAGAGGCAGACGGAAUUCCGGGUGUAGCGGUGGAAUGCGUAGAGAUCCGGAGGAACACCAACGGCGUAGGCAGCGCCCUAGACGAGACCUGACGCUCAGGCACGAAAGCGCGGGGAGCGAACAGG
rnacentral:rRNA from 1 species